GUGGGGAAUAUUGGACAAUGGGCGAAAGCCUGAUCCAGCCAUGCCGCGUGUGUGAAGAAGGUCUUCGGAUUGUAAAGCACUUUAAGUUGGGAGGAAGGGCAUUAACCUAAUACGUUAGUGUUUUGACGUUACCGACAGAAUAAGCACCGGCUAACUUCGUGCCAGCAGCCGCGGUAAUACGAAGGGUGCAAGCGUUAAUCGGAAUUACUGGGCGUAAAGCGCGCGUAGGUGGUUCGUUAAGUUGGAUGUGAAAGCCCCGGGCUCAACCUGGGAACUGCAUCGAAAACUGGCGAGCUAGAGUACGGUAGAGGGUGGUGGAAUUUCCUGUGUAGCGGUGAAAUGCGUAGAUAUAGGAAGGAACACCAGUGGCGAAGGCGACCACCUGGACUGAUACUGACACUGAGGUGCGAAAGCGUGGGGAGCAAACAGGAUUAGAAACCCUAGUAGUCC
rnacentral:rRNA from 1 species